rnacentral:rRNA from 1 species
CAGCCGCCGCGGGAAUACAGAGGGUGCAAGCGUUAAUCGGAAUUACUGGGCGUAAAGCGCGCGUAGGUGGUUUGUUAAGUUGGAUGUGAAAUCCCCGGGCUCAACAUGGGAACUGCAUCCAAAACUGGCAAGCUAGAGUAUGGUAGAGGGUGGUGGAAUUUCCUGUGUAGCGGUGAAAUGCGUAGAUAUAGGAAGGAACACCAGUGGCGAAGGCGACCACCUGGACUGAUACUGACACUGAGGUGCGAAAGCGUGGGGAGCAAACAGGAUUAGAGACCCCGGUAGUCCCUGUCUCUUAUAA